UUUGUACCAAAAAUCAAGUGUAUUAAUAAAUAUUCCCUUUGUAUUACAUCUCCAUAGUGAUAUUGAUAGAUCAAAAUGGAGCAGAGAUUAACUUCAAGUCAAACAAACUGUUGAAGAAGAAAAGCACGCAUUUGCUGAUUAUGUAAAAGAUAGCCAUGAACAAGCACUGAUGCAAGUUAAGAAUUGGAACUUAUUGAAUAUGUUUGAAUGAAUAGUGGACUUGGUUUCUGACAGCCAGCACUCCAAGAUCAGCAUAGGCAGCGGGAAUACAGAACAACGUUCCUGAUCAAGAAGCAGGCAGAGAAGACAUGAAUAUUAUAAACCCCUUGAACUAACAAGAAUAUUCAAAUGAAAAAGUAGCCUUUUUCUGGCAGGGCAAACUAAAGACAUACUGAAUAAUUAAGGAACAAUCUGGAAUUUCUGUAGCUUGCACCAAAGUUAUGUUCCUGCACAUUUUAUGAAGAAGAUUUUAUUAUUAUGCCACAGGGUCAUGCAGCCUAGAAUGAAAUUAUCUGAUGCAACUUGUGCUGUUCUGGCAAUCAACUUGUUUGAUUUA